rnacentral:rRNA from 1 species
AGAGCGAACGCUGGCGGCAGGCCUAACACAUGCAAGUCGAGCGCCCGUAGCAAUACGGGAGCGGCAGACGGGAUAGUAACACGUGGGAACGCGCCCUUCGGUUCGGAAUAACUCAGGGAAACUUGAGCUAAUACCGGAUACGCCCUUACGGGGAAAGAUUUAUUGCCGAAGGAACGGCCCGCGUCCGAUUAGCUAGUUGGUGAGGUAAUGGCUCACCAAGGCGACGAUCGGUAGCUGGUCUGAGAGGAUGACCAGCAUCACUGGGACUGAGACACGGCCCAGACUCCUACGGGAGGCAGCAGUGGGGAAUAUUGGACAAUGGGCGCAAGCCUGAUCCAGCCAUGCCGCGUGGAUGAUGAAGGCCUUAGGGUUGUAAAGUCCUUUUAACGGGGAAGAUAAUGACGGUACCCGUAGAAUAAGCCCGGCUAACGUUCGUGCCAGCAGGCCGC